ACGGGAGGCAGCAGUGAGGAAUAUUGGUCAAUGGAGGCAACUCUGAACCAGCCAUCUCGCGUGAAGGAAUACGGCCCUAUGGGUCUUAAACUUCUUUUAUAGGGGGAUAAAGUGAGGCAUGCAUGCCUUAUUGUAGGUACCCUAUGAAUAAGCAUCGGCUAACUCCGUGCCAGCAGCCGCGGUAAUACGGAGGAUGCGAGCGUUAUCCGGAUUUAUUGGGUUUAAAGGGUGCGCAGGCGGCACGUUAAGUCAGCGGUGAAAUGCAGGGGCUCAACCCCGGCACUGCCGUUGAAACUGGCGAGCUCGAGUACGGAUGAAGUCGGCGGAAUGUGAUGUGUAGCGGUGAAAUGCUUAGAUAUGUCACAGAACACCGAUUGCGAAGGCAGCUGACUAAUCCGCAACUGACGUUGAGGCUCGAAAGCGUGGGGAGCAAACAGGAUUAGAUACCCUGGUA
rnacentral:rRNA from 1 species